rnacentral:rRNA from 1 species
UACGGGGGGGGCAAGCGUUGUUCGGAAUUACUGGGCGUAAAGGGCUCGUAGGUGGCCAACUAAGUCAGACGUGAAAUCCCUCGGCUUAACCGGGGAACUGCGUCUGAUACUGGAUGGCUUGAGUUUGGGAGAGGGACGCGGAAUUCCAGGUGUAGCGGUGAAAUGCGUAGAUAUCCGGAGGAACACCAGCGGCGAAGGCGGCAUCCUGGACUGGUCCUGACACUCAUGAGCGAAAGCGUGGGGAGCGAUCCGG